rnacentral:rRNA from 1 species
AGCGAACGCUGGCGGCAGGCCUAACACAUGCAAGUCGAGGGGGCAGCAAUGUCACCGGCGAACGGGUGCGUAACGCGUAUGCAACCUACCUACAUCAGGGGGAUAGCCCUAGGAAACUGGGAUUAACACCGCAUAAUAUAAGCUACGGCAUCGUAGCUUAUUGAAAUAUUUAUAGGAUGUAGAUGGGCAUGCGUAGGAUUAGCUAGUUGGUAAGGUAACGGCUUACCAAGGCUACGAUCCUUAGGGGCUCUGAGAGGAGUAUCACCCGCACUGGCACUGAGAUACGGGCCAGACUCCUACGGGGGGCAGCAGUAGGGAAUAUUGGGCAAUGGAGGCAACUCUGACCCAGCCAUGCCGCGUGCAGGAAGACGGUCCUCUGGAUUGUAAACUGCUUUUGAAUGGGAAGAAUGUGUGGCUUGCGAGUUAUAAUGACGGUACCAUUAGAAUAAGCCACGGCUAACUACGUGCCAGCAGCCGCCGUAA